UACAGAGGUCUCAAGCGUUGUUCGGAUUCAUUGGGCGUAAAGGGUGUGUAGGUGGCGCGCUAAGUCGGGUGUGAAAUUUCGGAGCUUAACUCCGAAACUGCAUUCGAUACUGGCGUGCUUGAGGACUGGAGAGGAGACUGGAAUUCAUGGUGUAGCAGUGAAAUGCGUAGAGAUCAUGAGGAUGACCAGUGGCGAAGGCGGGUCUCUGGACAGUUCCUGACACUGAGACACGAAGGCCAGGGGAGCAAACGGG
rnacentral:rRNA from 1 species